UUGAUAGCAAACAUACUUGAUUAUUUAUUCAUAAUUAUUCUGGGUGUGUGUUUUUUGAUUUAAAAAAAUAAAACGUAUUUGAAAAUUGAAAAAAACUAGCAUUUCACAAAAAUAUUAUCUCCCUUUGUAGAACUCUCUAGUUCCGACAGUGAAAGGAGGUAAAAACAAAAGUAUUUGUAAGCAUGACGUUUUGCUGGUUUGGAGUUACUUUUUACAAGCCAUGUGUUUUAUUGAUAUUUUUAUAAAAAAAAAAAACUUCUUGGAUUAUACAGUAUAGCUUCCUUGGCAGAUGUGAUAUUGUUUGUUCUGAAGACAUUCAACAACUCGCGAGUUUCAGCAAUGGCCAUAUUGUCUAAAGUAGGUCGUAUGCCAUGUGUUACACUUGCUAAAUUAUUUAGUAAAUACAGUGAAUGACUAUGGAAUGUGGACGUUAUUUUAACUUUUCUUCAAAAUAAAAUACAAAGAGGUGAAGAAGGAAGUUUUGUCAAAUUCCAAAUCUUCUAAGUCCCCACCUACAUAUUGAAAACACCAGAGGAGAUGGACCGAGAAUUCCCCUCCAAACAGAACAUGUGAAAAUUUGAAAGCAGGUCAUAUGAUUGGUCAAGCUGGUGUAACACUACCAGUGUUAUAGGCCUACACCAUGCAUGUACACCAUGCUGCUGUGUGACCAAGUGAGGGGCAUCACAAGGAAGGGGAAGAUAUUUAGAUCAUUCAUGGAGCCUUCAACAUUGUAUUAAAACCAAAUUAUAAAGAGAACUCAAGAAGCCAGAGUUUUACAUUUAGUCAUGACCAGUCAUGACAUUCAGCAAAUGAAUGAGUAUCUGAUGAAAAUUAGUGAGAGUUUUCAGAGAAUAGGAGAUACCGUUGGGACACCUUCACUAAGCCUGCUAAAUUAUACUACAACAAUAUAAUGACAAACAUUGCUGUUAUUCUCCCAAAGAACAUCAAAGAAAUAGUGAAGUCUUACAGUAUCUGGAGAAAAUCCUAGUCUUGCCUAGUAUUAUACCUGAGGGAAGUUUUGACCACUUAUCCUGAAGUUAUUCAUGCAUAAUAACAUGGGUCCACUAUGCACUACUAUGAAUAUGCUUCAAAUAAUAAAAAAAAAUU